UACAGGGGGGGCAAGCGUUGUUCGGAAUUACUGGGCGUAAAGGGCGCGUAGGCGGGAAUGUAAGUCGGGCGUGAAAUCCCCAGGCUCAACCUGGGAACUGCACUCGAAACUGCGUUUCUUGAGUAUCGGAGAGGAAAGCGGAAUUCCUGGUGUAGAGGUGAAAUUCGUAGAUAUCAGGAGGAACACCAGUGGCGAAGGCGGCUUUCUGGACGGUAACUGACGCUGAGGCGCGAAAGCGUGGGGAGCAAACAGG
rnacentral:rRNA from 1 species